GUAAGCCCUGGCUAACGGGUUAUAAUAGUUAGCAAUGAUCAUGAGAAUGAAAUUGUCGAUACGGUCAAUGUCACGGGUUAUAGCAGUGACCGUAGCUAACGAUUUGAAUGAUAAUGAUGAUUUAUGAUGAUUUUAAUGAUUGAUCCAUGAUUUGGUUUGAUUAUGAUAUUUGAAUGAUAGCAUAUUUUACAAUGAUUUAUGAAGUGACAUAUUUUGACAUUGAUUUAUGAAUUUAUGAAAUAUUUGACGAAACGAUGAUCUUAAAAUGUUUUGAUAUUAUGAUUUGUUGAAUGUUUUGAAUGAUCUAUAUGAUGUGUAAGGAAACGAUGCUUGAUCUGGUAAGGUGUGUGAGUCUAUACUUACUAAGUUGUGGUUUGCUCAUUCUCCUUUUACUUUUUUUUUACAGAUGAUUAAGUGAUAAGUUUAGUUAGUCUUGUAUGAAGCUAAAAGAUGAAAUGAGUAAGAUUACUUAAACGUCGAAGAAUAUGUUGACCAAUGAGAAUUUUAAGAGGUAGUUUUGUAUUUUAUAUGGUUUGUAUUUGAAUAUAUAAAGAUGUAUCAUCAGUUGGAUUAAAGAUAUGAAUUUUACUUGAUAAAUUAUUUUAUUAAAAAAUUUUAGAAUGUUUAAGAAAAAAAACUUCAUAUUAUUUUGAGAUUUUUUUAAAAUAAUAUGAUCGUGUUAUGCCUCGAUUCGAGGCAUAACAAGUGCAGCCCCAUCUUGUUGUCGUGGUACAAUGUACGUGAAUAAGAUGAGGAUUGUAAUGGUAGUAUAGGCCAUAAGGGCAUUGAAUGCUUGCCUCAAUCACGGAAUGUCCAAAACUUGGUCCUUUCUUUAUAGUCGGAGUUCGUCAGUCUCAAAGGAACUUAUUUCCGGUUGUUUAUGGACCAACACAACACAAAGCGAGCAGUCUUUUGUCCCACGUAACACAAAUUUUGGCCUGUUGAGCAAUUAGCUUGGUCGAGCUAAAUUUGCGCUGCCUAGUCACAGCUCUUUAUUGCUGAUCAAUUGAAAGUUUCCGGUUACUACAAACAAGGCUUAGCCCCACGUUGUCACAGUGUCAUCGAAAGCGAAGCAUGGCUUCUCCUCCUAAAUUCCUCUUAUGUCAUCCACAUUAGACAAAUUUUUUUCAUUGCUUUCGGCCUUACAUUUCACCAACUCAAAGAGCACAAUGUAACAUCACCCCAGGUUUUAUAUCCGUUACAACAUAUUUGCAAGCUGUCUCGCAAGGUUAGCUUAGUUGGCAAGCAAAUAUACUCUCACCAUAACGACGACCAACUAUUAGAACAUCCAGACUUUGUCAGGUGCCAAGGUUAAGGACUAAGGGCAAUUCAAGCAUAUGAGACACAAACUUAGCAUAUGGGGCUGCCCAUGAGCUUCUGCCAUAAACAUGAAAUUCUAAAACCACAAUAAUCACAAUUGAGUACUGAAGCAAAUGCAUUCCUCCUUGAUAAAGCACCACAAAUACCUUGUUACAGCCUUUCAAUCAGCCAACAUGGGAGAUAUUUCCCAUGUUCCAAAGGCCAAAAGCCGGCUUUACAAGCUACAUGGUAAUCUUAUCUGUCUUCUUAAGUUCCUUGCUUCCUUUGUAUUCUUUUUCAAAUAACAGCUAGCAAACGAAUAUAAUCUUGCAUGCCAAAACCCAGAACAAAUUUGUACUAAUAUUAUAGCUAACUUCGUUACUUCAAAGUGACAAGGCCGUAACCUGAAGGUGUAAAUUUAGAAUGAGAUGGGCCAUGAGGCUUUGAAGUCUAUUCUCCAUGUUCUGUCAAUGAAAUAGAUAGGCUAUUCCAUCAUUUUCAUUGAGGUUAGAGUCAUAAUAGAUAAACUUUUUAUGGCUAGCUGAUAAAAAAUCUUAGGCAUUUUUUAUGUUUCAGUAAUGCGGUGAUCCAUUGGUGACCACAUUCCAAAUGAUGAUAUGCAUGUGAAGGCCAUGUUACUUUUGUCUUGAAAACGCCUUAAAGAGACAAAAAUGGUUAAUGUAACUACGUAAGGCUGCUCAACAUCACAAAUUGCCACUGUGCCGGUGAUAUCUUCAGCUUUGCCAACUUUCCCCAUUCAAAACUGCCUAUUAAUGACAACCUCUUCGACCAAACUCCUUCGUUAAGUCAGCUAUCAGUGUUGGCUACAGGGUUAAUAUUGAAGUUAGUAACUCCAGAUGGAGGCUUGAUGAUUCUUCAUAAUUCCAACCGGGAUAGAUACAGUAAUUUAACACCAGAUAUCUAAGAUCACACCAUUAAGCUUUUGAAGGAAUUAGGAUAGAAUUGGGGUGUGGGGACAUUAAGCUUUUGUUAAAUAAUGGAGUAAUAAUGCAUAUCAUGCUCUAAGAUAAUUCUAAUAUCAAAAGCUCAAUGAUUGAGUACUAAACUCAAAUGACGAAAGGUCAAUGGAUAAGAACCUAGCAUCAUUUGUUCCAGCUUCGCUUUCUAUUGCCACAGCCACAAUCGAACUCCAUUUAGAUGGACAAGAAAAAGGGUGGCCCAUAAAGCUCCAUUUAGAAGUCAUCGAACACAAAAAGAUUUGUGAAAUGGGCCCCACGGCUUGACAGGCUGCGGUCACAGGAUUAUAUACUUGAGCAAUUCCAAGCAAACUCAAUGGCAAUACACUGUAUUUUUGAGGAAAAUGCACACACCAAAGUCCAAACAACAUGGAGUCUCGUUGGUGCAACACCUGGAUAAUCUGUUCCACCUGAUCUAUCCUACUUCAGACAACUUAUCCACAUUCCAAAGACCUUUCAAUUCCUACAUCCUCAUUCAUCCAAAAUCAAGUCUAUCUUUACAAGAGUGAAAAUGUUUAAUAUGUUGUUAAUGUAACUUAACACCAAUGUUCAAACCUUAUCUUCCAUACUCUCGAACCCUUUCUCUUCAAGAAAGCUUUUGGUUCCUAUUUAGCUAAAGCUAACUUCCAUCGUCACUCACUUUAUAUAUAUGAACAAGAAUUGAAGAUGUCUGAAGGUAGUAAAAACUUCCAAUUUCCUUAUUCAAGAGCAAAAUUUACACAGGCUAAAUGAAUCAUCAUACCAUAGUACAUACAACAAUAGCAAUAGGAUUCCUAGGACCAAUAGCAGAAGAUGUAAUCACGCACAAAAAUACAUUAGGAGAACAUAUGCCACAGCCCACAACAAAUGUUAACCGCAAUGACCAUUGAUAGUCAAAGCUAAUAUUAUCAGGUGAGCUUUAUUUUUUCUUUUCAGCUACUACCACAUCAUGGAAAGUUUCUACACUAAAAUAGAAGCUUGCAUAUAUAUGUUCUCUUUCAUGUCUUAGGUUGACAAAGGGCAAGAUAAUAUCAUCGACGGUUGUUAACAUACUACUUAGGUCUUAGCUACAAUCAAUGCUCUUAAGGAAAUAAGUUACAACUAAAUCUAGAAAGAAGGUUGAUACAGUUGAUAUCCACAUCUUUACAUCUUCUUCACAGUUCACUUUGUCAUCCCCAAUGUAAACUCGAAAAGUGAACUCCAAUAGUAACCUAUCAUGAUCAUGUACAUUCAUAACUGGAGGCUGGUUUCAAAGGUUGAGGCAUCCCAUCAAUCGCACUUAACUGUCUUCUCAGCUUAACAAUAUGGGCUUGCACCUAUCAUGUAAUAUAAACGGUCAUAAGAUAUUGUCAUUUGUCCCACAAGUUCAUGAAAGAUAAAAGAGCGUGAACAUCAAACAACUGAAUUAGACAUGCAUAGUGACACAUAAAAGCCUGUAAGUCAGGCCAAAAGCUUAUGGAGUUGACCCACAUUCAUGGCCAAGAUAGCAGGUUACAAAGUGUGACUCAAAAUUUUGUAUCAAAAUGGCAGAGGACAGACAAAACAUCUACAAACCAGGUAAUGCUGACUACAUUAUGGAUUAAAAGACGCUUUAACUUGUACAUCUGGCUAGACUUCUGUAUAAGCAUAGCAUGCCUAUUCAUAACUAGUAGUAUAACAGCAAAUAUAAACACCAGAACACUUCACAGUGGCUCAACCAAGUUAAUUGCUAAAAUGAAAAGCAACUUAGCUAUUCCAACCUGCUGACGAGCUGCAGCAAGUUUCAAGAGUUCAUCUGCCUCUGAGAAAUUCAUAAACCACUGACUGAGUGGAUGAUCCUUGGUAUCACCCCUUCCAUUCUCAUUCAUAUUUUCAAGUGGUACUGCAGAAACAAGAAAAGUGAUCCUCACAGAAUUUUUUUGAUGAGCAAGAGUCCAAAAAGAAGGCAGAACAAGUAAAUUUACCUGGAGCAGGCAAGCUAAACCCAGCAGGCAGCCGUGGCACAAGAACAGCUGGAUGAUUUUGCACACGAGCAAAGAAACACUCAGAAGGAUCUGGAAAAACAAUCUCAUUGUAUGAUUCCACAACAACGGGUUUCUUGGUUGACUGAGGGCCAGAUUCAUCUUCAGGAUACAACUUCAAAUGGUGAUACCUAUAAAUAUUGAAGCCUAGUUAGUAAACAAGGCACCACAUCAAGUGAGCGACCAAAUAAACAACUCACAAAUCCAACUGCUUGUCGCAAACGUCACUGUGGAAGAAAAGGCUAAUUCCAAUUUCAAAUUCACCCCAACCACAUUCUGAUAACUCAAAAGGUGGCGAUUCAACAAUUCUUGUAGGAUUAUUGAAACUGGGAUGCAGUUGAAACACAACAUGCUUUAUCACCGCUCCAAGAUCUUCAUUUGUAGCCCCACGCACAUAAACAGUCCACUUAUGCGACUGCGACCUAAUUGAAGGGGAUAAAUCUAUUUAACCUUAGUCUACCACAAAACAAGAAAAGAAAAAACGAAAAUUUAUAUCAUCGAAAAACAUACUCGCUAGCCUUUCGACCAAGAUAAAAAGCAAUAGUUCCAUAUACAAUUGGAACACAAAUCUCAACAUCUUUAACUCUCCUGUUUGUACUCUACAAAUUAUUCAGAAAACAAAACAAAUAACGUCAUUACAAUGGAGAUAGAGCUCAACAAAAACAAAAGGAAAAAUCUUUCUAAGCAAUAAAGAAACCAAAUGCCAGUUCAACAUUUCCCAGCUCUUGUUUUCAAAUGUUAAAGCAAAAUUAUGCUUUAACUGUAAUUAAGAAUAGAAAAUUUCAGUUCCCAUGGACUUAAAAAACCCCACCAAAAAAUUGAAUGAUUUCAAAAGCGUUAAAAAACUGCUACUACUUCCCUGGUACGAUGCAAAAGGAAUAAUCUUCCUAAAAACUUGAGAAAACCCAGAAAAUUUGAAACUUCGUUUUCGUAGGACAUGCAGAUAAAAGCCGCCAAACAUAAUUGAAGAAGCCAAAAAAAAGGACCUUUUUGUCGAUAUCAUCAGAGGUUUUGCCAAGUUUGAUGAUGCGCUGCGGCUUUGAAGCAGACCCACCAUCUUCAGCUUGGGCUUCGAUAGCCGUAUGAGGCAUUUUAGCAGACAGUUGACGUGGGAUCAAAACCAGAAGCCAAUGAAGAGUUUCACUUUCAAUUCAGGUAUUAGAAUUUAGGGAUUUGUCUGAUCAAUUUUGAGCAGGGGAAUUGGGGUUUUAGAGAAGGAAGUCUGGGCCAUUUUUCAUUUUGUUAUUCUUGCUACGUCAGCUGUCAUCUAGACGGAUGUGUCGUACCUUGGAGUCGUCAAAAUAACAGCAGUGUCAUUUGUCUUGUCUUGACGAAGGAUAUAUGGUCAAAGUCCAUUUGGUGUUUCCUUGUUUCCUCUUUUUUUUUCCCUCUAAAAUUUAACAAUGUCAAUAAAUGGGAUGGCAUACAAUCCAAGUUAUUCGACUCAUAACCUGAGCUUGGAAUCAAAGAAUAACCAUCAUCUUGAAUCUUUGUCAUGAUAUGUUUUAGAUAUGUAAUCCAAGUCAUCCAUCUAAAAAGCAUAGAAAACAGUUUGUAAUCCAGUGCCAGCCUACAAGGAACAAAUUUUCAUUGUGUUUAUCACAACAGAGCAUUAUAAUUUCAUGCUGAAAUGAAAAAGGUCAGUGGAGAGGGUGGGAUGUUUGACAAACAUAGUGACAUCUCUACCCUUACAGAAAAGAUGGAAUACACCAAAUUCGAGUUCCAAUAGCACAACAAUAUGCACCCACACAUCAUGUUUCAAUGUUUGAAAGCACAACAAUGGCACUAAUUCAAGUUCCCUGGUCUCUUCAUAGUGUUACACUUUCAAGAAAGUAUCCGUUACAAAUUUGCCUUCUCUGGAUGGUCAUCUAGUCCGCUGGAAGUAAACAACCAGGCACCAAAGUGCGACAGGCAGCAGAACGCAAUAGCUAAUCAGAUCAGAUCAAAUAUUCGAAGCACUUAAGGCCAUUACUUUGCAUUGUUCAUUCAUGGCCAAAAGCUGAGCUUCUUUCUUGUCAAGAAGGGCAGUCAACCUCACAUUCUCUUCCAUAAGCUUCUGAACUUCAGCCUCUUUCUGUUUUUUCUCGCCCUCUAGCUGCGUUGUCUUGGCAACUAGCCUGAUUCACAUCAAAAUAAGGAUAGGCUCAUGAAUAAGAUUACCAACUAAAAGAAGCUAGUGUAAAAGAAAGACAUUCAAUAGUAGUGUCAAAUACCACCACUCCCCAGCAUAUCCUCCUACCUACUCAGAUGCAAAAUGCAGUUUUGAACAUAUAAAUCAAGUUCACACCUAUACUGACAUAAGCCCUAAAAUUGCAAACUAGCCAAAAAAAUACAACUCCUCAAAUUGGGUUCCUCGGUAGGACAAAAGCAGAGUGAGCAUAGGAAACCUACCGUCAAACAAACACCUGAUUGAUAGUUGAAAAGCAAUGAGUGCAAUGAGAGAUCCAUGUCAUAAUUUGCCAAAAAUAUAGUAAUAUAUAAAUUACCAAAGAGUGUAGUAAUGAUACAAUUAGUGUGGUUUGAUACGGACAUAUAUGAAGGAACAAAAUUCAUAUUAAUUGCUGGGCAUGCUGAGAAUGGAACAGACAUUUAAGAAACAAGAACAAGUAUAGUCAAGGAAAUCAUAGAACUCAAAAAUCAUACUGACCGUUCAAAGUGCCUUUCAAUGGUUUGAAAUUGCUUCUCUGAUGAAAGAAGUGUUUCUCUUACACUAAUGAGACUGCUAACAUAAGAUUUCAGGGACUCAAAAUCCUGCUUCACACGAGAAAGCUCCUGUUCAUUUUCAGCAGCUCGUUGCCUCUGUCUAGAAGUUUCUUCCACCAAGUCCUCAACCCUCUGCCUCAUUUCAUUAAGAAUACUAUUUGUACCCAGAGCAAACCUUUCCAUCUCUUCCAACUUUAUAGACAUAUUCUCAAUUUGGACUGUCUUCUUUUUAAUUUCUUCCUCGCCUAAAGUAGCCUUUUCUUUCUCAAUAGCAGUUUCAGAUUCCGCCAUGAUGACCCUCUUAACAAGAACUUCCAUUACAUCCGUGACCAUUUGCACAGACUUGAUUAAUUCACCAAUAUAGGCUCCAUCUUGUUCAUCCAAAGAACCUUGUUGUCUACUAAUUCCAAUCCAUGUUUCUUCAUCAGUACAAUCAAAUGAAGAGAGAUCAACACUCCUUGACCAACCAGACAACGGUGUACCUUCUUUAUCCACAAGCCCCACCCCUUCUAAUAGUUUGAUGCCACAUGAUUUAUGGGCUAAAUCAGGAACAGCCAAUACUCUUGCUUUUGAUUUCAAGUAAGUCAAUAAAGUUGCAGUAGUUUUUACCCUUCGCCAAAGAACAUCCAACUCCUUCUUUGAUUCCUCCUUCGACCCCUGAAUGCAUGCCUUUACCUCCACAAUUUUGGCUUGUAAUACAUCUACUUGGCUCUGGCAUUUUUCCAUCUCAUGCUUCCACAUUUCAUGAGUUUCACUUAGCUGAGACUGCAGAGUUAACAAGUCGAGAUCAUCCUCAGCUGCCAUGCCCUUUCCUAAGUUAUAAAAAACUAGGAAUGAGAUCACAGAUGUUCAAUGGCAUAACAACUCAUAAUCACAACACAAGCAAUAAAGAUGCAAGUAGAACACAUCAUUGUUGCAAAAGGAAAGGGGUUGCAAAGCCUAAAGGGCAAAAGGAAAGGGGUUGCAAAGCCUAAAGGGCAAAUAUUAUGUACAACAAGAUGUAUGCUAAAAUCCAAUACCCACUCGACCCAUCACAACCCCCCCCACAAAAAAGAAAAAAAAGAAAAAGAAAGAUGCAAAGCUCCCCAUGGAUUUAAUUCACAAAUAGGUUUCCGUCACACUUUCCACAGUUUAGCACCCCAGUGAUGCAAACUUUCAAUGCUAUUAACCAAAACUAGACUCUAUAUCAGACGAAAAUUGCAUGCCCAGGCAAGAUCUAGUUCUCAUAGAUUGCUAUCUUCCAAAAUCCAGCAUCACGAUAGAUAGUAGGCAAUAACAAUGUCCAUAUCCAGUUGAACCAUUUCAUUCCAACUAUGCUGGUUCAAGAUGCUAGGAGAAUGUCUUACAUCAAUCAUGAUAAUAUACUCAACCCAAAUAAUGUUUUCCAAAUCUUAUCUUCAAAACCUGGCAUGAAAAUAAAACAACCAGGCAAUCCCAUUAAAGCUAGCAUUACUUUCUUACAGAUGAAUGUCAUGCCUUUUGUAACAUCAAGAACAUUUGCUACCCAUAUCUUCAAGUUAAUUUUUUAAAGUCUCUUUCAGCUUUCAAAAACAUAAAUUCACUCCAAGAAAUUAGGGUAAGAAAUUCACCAACAUCAUUACCAUAAGGAAAGCAAAAAAAAAAAAAACCCAAUUCCACGAUCUGAACCAUCAAAGCCCUAGCAAACCACAAUGACAUGAAAAUAAGCCAGAAAACUGCCAAAAAGAACCCUAUUCCAAUUACCCAUUUACUGAUCAAACACAAAAACGCGUUAAGACAAAAAUCGAACCCUAACCCAUCAACGGAAACGACAACAGUCAAAAUUUCCGACCAGAAAAAAAAAACAAAAAAUUCAAACUUGAAAGGAAAAAAAAAUCACAUUUUCAUCUAAAAAGAAAAGAAAAAUAGAAGGCAAUGAAAGACAAACCCAAAAAGCUUCUACCUUUCUCCAUUUCGGAUUGGAUAGAGCUUGAGAGAGAGAUGCAGAGAAAGACAGAACCUUGUGAUUGGAGGAAAAGGAAAGGAAUAGCGUGGGGUUGACUGCACAAGAUAAUUCCAGGGCACCAGGGGAGAGGCUUUUGUUUUUUGUUGUUAUUCUUCGUUCAGAAAAGCCUUUUUUUUUUUUUCUAAACUAAGGACAUGUUUGGCAGCUGGGCAAUUUCUCCUUUCUCCUUUUUCUUCUUAAUAAAAAAUUGUUUUCUAAAACUAAUAAAUAAUAAUACCCACAACACAAACAAUAUUCUAAAAUUUUAUUUGAAUAAUAAAAUAAACACUUUCUAGUUUUCUUUCACAAAGAUUUUUUCUUUUUGACUUUUUGUUGACGUACUGAAAAUUUGGACAAAAGCAAACAUGUCUUUAUUAUUUAUUCUUCUAUUUAUUUGGAAAUAAGCUAGCAGUAGUAUAAUUAGAUGGCAUGUAUGAAUACUUGUUAAUGGUGAAUGAAAUUUUCAAUUAAAAAAAAUGUGAGAAUUAAUGACAUAUAUCAUUUUUUUUUUUUGGCAUCAUUUUACAAGACUCAGAUUUGAUUUAACUUUGACAAGAAAUGUAAAGAACAACGGAAGCUUAAUGAAGCUAUAAGAUUCCAUUCAAAAACUAGAAAAAAAAAGAAAAAAAGAAAAGAAAAGGCAUUAGGAAAAGCUCUUUUGGCCUGUGAAAGAAUCAGAGAGCCCAAGAGGAAGUUUUUCAUUUUUUCUCAUGUAUCUUAUAACUAUGAUUUACAGGCUCAAAACUUGCGAAGAUCAUCUGGCUUGUAGGAAUUCCCACUGCUAUAUAGUGUUUUAGUCUGUGAUUUGAGCAUGUAUCACUAUAUAUAGCCUAUAGCUAGGAAUACAGAAGCCACAGGAUGCUGCAGUGAGUUCCAUUCUAGGAUCCAUAUCAGGCCAACUGCAAUGAAAGGAUAUUUCCAACUAUAAAAAUAGGCUGCUGUAACAUACUAUCAGAAUUAAAACAACGCACAACUUAGUAGUAGCUAGUAUAUUACCAAACUAGUACAUUUCAACUUUAGGUGAAGGGGCCAGGGCUCCAAAAACAGAACCCUAACAAAUGGAAGGAGACCUAAAAACUUGCGUGAUGAUCGGUAUGACCUGCAUUGUAUGGCAGAUUAUUCUCGAGCAUUCCGAUUGACAGACUACCAGAAUUCUGGUAACAGGGCUAAAUGACUCUGGCUUAUUGUUUAAGCCUAUGCUUGGUCUUGUAUCUUUUUCAUGUAAUCAAAUUAUUUUGUACCAUAUUGAACAUUUAGUAAAUUUUUAGUUCCUGUGAAGAAGAAGAAGAAGUAUUUGAGCCUUGGCAUAAUAGACAGAUUACAAAUAUCAAUAUCUUGAGAGAAGUUUAAAGCUGGACUUCGGUUGCAAGCUUAGAACUAGACAAGGAAUGAAAUAGGAUUGAAUCAGGAUUUGGGUCAAUAAAAUGCUUUCCAAGGUAGAAUAGGGUGGUGAAAAUAACAAAGCUCAAUCAUUUUUUCUUUUUCAAGAAGGCAAGUGAUGAACUCCUAAAUGGAUUUGGCUACCAGGAAAGGUUGUAAAAUGUAAUAUUUCAGCUGGUCCUCUGAUAUCCUUUAGAAACAAUUAGAAUCAGUGUUCUCCAAGAAAUUUGGAAUCAGUUUUCCUGAUCAACAGAUGCAGGAGAUGGAUCCCAUUUUCCUACAUGCGACCAGAUGGAUCUUGCUAAUCUGGUGUUCCACAAUUUCCAUCAAACUGGUACUUACUGCCCAGGUUAUUUUCAGAAUAAAUAAUGUACUUCAGAUAUCCUACUUACAAAUUACAAGAGAGUUUCUAACUCUGGGUAGCAGUAAGGAGGUGUGGAUGGGAUGCUGUUGAACUUCUUUACUAGACUAAUGCAUAUUUAACAGUGGGAUAAAAUGAAUCAAAGCAGCCCAUCUACCAAAGACCUCUCAUGGAAAUAACUCAAUUUUGCCUCAGUGCUUGAGAUGUUUUCAGAAUGUUUUUGGGUCACAACCUUCAUUUUCUGAAUUUGGAGGGAUUUCUUUUGUAGCUCUGGUUUUUCUGUGUGGCAACUUUCCAUCUCUUUCUCCAUCUCAAUUUCUUGAAGAUUUUUCCUCUUGUCUUCCUUGAGGGUGGAAGAACGCCUGACUAAUUGCACUGCCUCAAUAAUCUCAUCUAGUCUCUUAUGGAGCCAACUGAUUUGCAGUUUGACUGAUUCCAAAUCAGAAACAGUUGUAAGCAAGGACUGGAGCUCAAGUUCCGUUAUGCCUUCCAAUUUCACUGCUUGUAGUUUUUGGAUAAUGCCACAGGCAAUCUCAAGGAGAGAUGAACGGCAUUGCAUUGAAUUCAAUGUGCUGUUGGCAACAAUGUCUCCAUGCUUCAAAAGAACUGCACUAAGGAUGGGUGUUAGUUCUGCCUUUACUGUAUACUCACCUACUGUCAUUGCAUUAGAACCAACAACGGGAAAUGUAAUUGCAUUAUGAUUUGGAGAGUCACCAUUGGUCAUAUCAGUUUUAGUGGAAGCCUUGCUUUGACAUCCUUUCUCCUGCUUGUUAUUGUUACCAUCUUCUCCCUGUGGCUUUGUCUUUUCUGGAGUUGCCUGUGACUCCUGAUGGGGGCAAAACAAGUGCAAAAUACAGCUAAAAAUGAAAAUAGUAAUUCACUAACUGCUGCCCGCAAGUCACUCAUGCCAAGGGUCUGUCUGAUCAUGCAUUAGACAUUGAAAUUAAAUACUAGUAAACUAUGCAGUUAACAUAUACUAUAUAGGACAACUAUAACUUGGUUUCAUUAAUCUAAAGUGAACAAAAGUCGCAUCCUUUUAGACUAGAAAGCUACCUUUCUGCCAGGCAGGAGACACCAAUGAUAACAGUCCAUGGUCAUAGUAAACUCCCAUUUUCAUAUUAACUCACCAUUGCUUUCAUAUUAACUCAUCAUUGCAACAGUUACAAAGAUAGGAACACUAGUCCUCUGCCUGAACAUAUUUGCUAUUAUACCAUUUUUUUCUGCUGUCUGCGAGGCUAAAAUUAUUGUAAUAUAGCUUUGAAUUUCAAUGAAACUUCCAGAUUCUAAACCUGAAAGACCAAUUUUAAUAAGCAAAAUUCCAGUAGUCAAUAGGAUGACCUGACAUCGAAUAUACCUUGUUCAGAGCAAAGUCAUUUUAAAAUGCAGAUCGGCCAUGAAAAGCAACAAAAUGCUAAAUAAAAUAUGGGAGAGGGUCAUUUGGCUUUCUGCGGUGUUGCUUUAUUGACCCAAACCCAUGGUUUAACUACAUUCAUGUGUAUGUUAUUAUGUCAAAUAAUGAUGCAGUGCAACUAUGAUUCAAUGAUACAGUUUCUUGUUUUCCUGCACUCUAGCCCCUUUUUCAAUUUCAACUAUGAUGAUGCAAUGCAACAUAAAUUUAUCAAGCAGCUUAAUAAUAUCAACAUGAAUUGGCUGAAAAUGAAGUUACCUUGCUCUCUAGAAACUGAAUUAGGCCCUCUAGACAAGUUUUGGAAUCUUUGGACUUCAAUAGUUCACCAGCAACUUCAGCGGGGGACACUUUAAUCUGUCCUAUAAUCUUUUCAAUCCGAGAAAAAAGAUCAUGAUUCGAAAUGCCAAGGUAGAUGGCUGCGAGUUGCUUGAAGGUAGAGAAUGUGCAAUAUGACAAGCAUAUGUGCUUGUCCAUGCGACCUGCUCGCAACAGCGCUGGAUCAAUUCUGUCCUUAUAGUUGGUGGUGAAAACAAUUAUCCUCUCGUCUCCGCAGCAUGACAAUAGGCCGUCAAUGGCAUUCAAAAGUCCAGAGAGCGUCACCUGAUGAAAUGACGAUGGAACACAUAAAAUUGAAGAGACUUAAUACACAGGGAAGAAUCAAGUCAAGAUGAUCAUGAAUUACAUAUUUUGUCAAACUAACCCUACAGGAAAGCAAAUUCAUUAGUUCAAAAACUUCCAAAAUCUUUAAGAAUGACUAGAACAAAUAAAUGAACAGUCAAGCAGGAUACAGAAUCAUUCCAAUAUAUAACAUAAUGAAAUUCUGGGCAUUUACUGUCUUUGACUUUCAGUCAAGAAAAAAGACAUUUCCAGAAUAUAGAUAUACAAGCAUAAUAAAAAGCUUAUCUCCAAGAUCAGAUUACUAUCUAGUUUAUGUGCAUCUAUAUUGAGUUGAGAAAAUACGACUAACCUGGAGAUGUGGAUAACUCGCCGUUUGAUCCCCUGCUUCCCUGUUUUGUAGUUUGACUGUACAGUCAAUAUCUUCAAUCACAAGAAUGGAAUGAUUUGACACAUGAAGCAACAAAUACUCAAGAGAUGAGUCCGACUUGACUGCAGAUAAAUUCAAGUUGAAAAUAUCAAAGUUCAGAUGAUUUGCCAUGGCUGCAAUGAAACUUGAUUUUCCAGUUCCUGGUGGACCAUGUAGCAAGUAACCUCGCUUCCACACUUUUCCAACUUUCUUGUAGUACUCCUUGCCAUUGAUAAAGCUAUCAAGAUCCUCCACAAUAUCCUUCUUGUGGUCUCCAUCCAUGGCUAGAGUGUCAAAUGUCAUGGGAUGCUCUAGAUUGACACCUUUUGAGCACCAACUCUCACUUCUGAUAGUGUGAAAUUUCACCAUCCGGUUCCGGUCUUUCAGUUUUUUGGCCAUGUCAAUGACAUGAGGGAGAUACUCGCUCUCUACCAUCUCAGCGUGCUUUUUCUUACAACUAAGCUCGUACCACCUUGAUUCAGCUGUCAGUUGAAUAUUACUAUUUGUGUUAACAUCGGAAUAGUAUUUCCAUUUCAUGGGAACACCGUGGAAGAAAUCCACAAUCUCCGAGUGUCUAUCAAGGCCAAAUGUGAACUGCCUUACAUUCUCAUUCUUGCCUACAGUGAGCCGUUUGAGAGAACCAUCAGCAGAAGAAGCAGACAGCACAUGGCUACCCAGGUACGCCAUGGCAGCCUUGUAAAUAUGGUUGCCUGAUCCAUGGUGUGAUUCUUCUAUAACCAAGGUGAAUUCUGGUGAGAAACGGCGAAUGAGACUCCAGAAGUACUCUCUUAUUUCGUUUGGAAAGAAUUCAUUGAAUGUGCUGCGGAUAAUGGUGAAAGCAGCCAACACUGAUAGUGUUGAUGCCAUAGCAAGUUUUAGCCUACUGAUUUCCUUUCACUAGUAGCAAUUCUUUGGGCUAAUUUAUAAAGGACAGAAGUUAUAGAAAAGGAGCUCUACUUUCUAUUCAUCACCGCCUUCUGGUUUGUGACAGAGAAAUUUCCUUGUUUUCUUUUUGAUACACUGCCCAGAGAAAUUUCCGUGUUAAAAACUCAUGAUGUUGAAAAAAAGACGAUAAAGACAUAAAGUUCAGUCCUACAUUUUCCCUGUCUGCAAGUCUUAUUUGGUCAACAAUGGAGAUUAUAAUAGCAUCUGAGCGUACCUAUCCACGCAGGAGCCACACUUAGCAAAAACGGAAUCAAGCUGAUAAAAGUAGGAUCAGUUAAAUUGAUAGAAAGGAAUCGAAAGCUCAUGCUUGGACAGAAAUGCACGAAUAUAAUGUACUACUAUUUUCAAGUUCCAGCUCUUUCUGCCGUGAAAAUUCCGUUCGUUAAGUGUCAAUCUCAGUCUUGUCCUUUGGGCCUUGGCAAUCCUGCCAUACAAAAAAAUACAUCUCUGUUCACUUCACCCUUGUGGAAAUUAGAGCAGACAUUAAUAAAUCUUGUCUUUAAAUUUUUUUAUAAAGUUUUCUUUAUCUUGCUUUUGACGUUUGCCAACACCUUCGCUUUACGCUGGAAGAAAAAAAAAAAUUGAAGAUUGGAUGAAUGAUAUAUGAAGUUGCAGCUGGCGGCUAUGGUUUGGCAGCUAAUGACUCUAUGGGUUUCAUUCGCUACAAGUUGAUAAAGUGCCAUUCACUUCUGGUCCAGUUUACCCUUCUUCCUGGUCCCAGCCCAAAAGAAAAAACAAAGGUUAAUUGUCCUAAAAGGAAAAAUUUCAGAUGAAGCAAAGAGUUCCACGGCAAAUGCUAAACCUGUCCAAAGAACCUAAAGUGCUACAAAGAAAUACAUGGGACAAAUGUCAUAAAUCACAAGUAAUGCCAGCUUAUUCUAACAAUGCUUAAAAAAAUAAAAUAGAGGAGAAAAGCAUGCUUAUAUAGAUAAUGAAGUGGAUUUGGCAGUCAUUAAAGUGUCAUUACAAUUUAAAGGAUCCCUUUUCAAUUACUAUAUUUUAAUUACCAGUAAACAUCUUCAGUAUGUUUAAAAGAGUAUUCUGUCGACGCAAUCCAUCUCCUAUUAACCUAAAGAUCUCCAAGUUGACCCUAGCAUCCGGGAAAUAUUUAGUGAGUUUCUUAUAUUUUGGCCAUCAUCUCAGCCAGUUUAUUCAGAAUCGGACUGGAUUUCUUUUGCAGCAGUGUUAUUUCUUCUUUGUAGCUUAAUAGCUCCUUCUCCAUGUCUUCAAUGACUUCUAGGAUAUUAUAUCUGGAAGAUUGGUCCUGGAUCAAAUCCUUCUUGUCAAAGUUGUUGCUACCUUCUUCUUGCGGUCAAUUCUCAGUUAAAUUUGAUUCUGUUGUGGACUUCUGUUUAUCAGCUGAAACAUCUAGGUUGGCACCUGGGGACUUUACAUCGUCCAUACUAGUUUCAUUGGAUGCCAAAGGAAUGGAAAUUGAGGAUUCCUGGACUUGGCAAUUUGAUGGAUGAGAAUGCCUGGGACUAUCUUCAGAAUUGCCAUCUGCAAGCAACUGCAGAAAACUCCCAAUUAAUCACAUUCAACAUGAGGAAGAUAACAUGAACAAUAGAUAGAAUCCAUGUUCUUUCAGAGUAAUCGGCACUCAUCAAGCCCUAAAUCUAGACAAGUCAUUAUGAAAAACAGUCCAGAAGGGACUAAGUCAAAGUAAAACUACUAAUUUUCCUAAAAAAAAAGACAAUGCUUCUAUUUACCUUUUCCUCAAGAUGAUUGAUCAGGCCCUCGAGAGAAACCUUAGGAUCCCUUGUCUUCAUCAGUUCACCAGCAACCUCCGCAGGGGAAACUUCAACCUUUGUUAGAAGCUUUUCCAUGUGAUUGAAGAGACUGUGAUCAGAAAUCUCUAAAUACUUCAAAGCCAAUUGCUUGAAGGAAGAGAAACUGCAGUAGGUCAGGUAGAUGUGCAUGUCCAUGCGACCAGCUCGAAGUAAUGCAGGAUCAAUCCGAUCUUUGUAAUUGGUAGUAGUAACCAGAAUCUUUCCCUCCCCACAGCAGGAUAGGAUACCAUAAAAAAAGUUCAGGAGUCCAGAAAGCGUCACAUGUGAGGACAACAUGAAAGAUGGACAUAGCUAAAGUUAAAAUUUGGAGUUAUAAAUCAAUUGCUUGCGGACUGCAUUUAUUGUUUCAGGAUUUAAAAAGAAAAGAAAUUUAACCAUGAAAUUCAGAAAAGAUUUUUCAAUUUCUUUAACCAGGACAUUCAAAUCGUACCCUUGGAUCCAUAAUCUAGAGACUAGAUUAGCAUUUAGAGUUCAUUGGCAAGAAUGUGCUCAUAUGAACCAAUCAAACCGAUCUAAACAAGUUUAACUCCUUUAAGAACAUUGACAUUUUAAUAGCCCCAAUUUCAAUGAAUUCACAGAUUUCAGAAUUCUGCAUAUUAGAGCCCCAUUUCCAGUUCAAGACCGUUAAUUCUAUCCCAUAAACAUAAAUAUCCAGUUAAGUUCAAAUUUAUUUUGGUUAUGUAAAAUUGUAUUAUGAUUGCAUAAUUUUGUAUUAUAUCACAGACUAGCCUUGUUCUGCUGCCGAUACUUUAUAGCUUGCUCUACCCCUGAUUCUCUGUUCUGCAGCUUCUCACAGCAGUCUAUAUCUUCUAUCACAAGAAUGGAACGAUUGGCCAUGCUAAGUAACAAAUUUUGUAAAACAAAGUCUGAGGAUACAGCUGAGAGAUUCAAAUUAUAGAUAUCAGAAUUUAGAUGAUUAGCCAUAGCAGCAAUCAAGCUAGACUUUCCAGUGCCUGGAGGCCCAUAAAACAAGUACCCUCUUUUCCAUACUUUUCCAAUCUGUUGGUAGUAUUCCUUACUAUUCAUGAACGUGUUGCGAUCCUCCACGAGUAUGUUCUUGAGAUCACCAUUCAUAGCCAAGGUCUCAAACGUCAUCGGAUGCUGAAUUAUCACAGGUUUUGAAGUCCAAACAUCAUGAGCAGCCGUGUGGAGCUUCACCACCUGGUUUCUCUCUUUGAUCUUGUUGGCUUUUUCCAGGAUGUGUGGCAAAUAAGACCUGGUGACCACGUGCUUGCACUCUUUGUGAAAUGACAGCUCGUACCAUCCGAUCUCCUGCUUAAACAUUCCUUGGCUAUAUUCAGAGAAGUACUUCCACUUCAAUGGUACAUGUUCGAAGACACGCCUCGAUAUCAAGACGUAACACAGUCGUAUUAUCUUGAAAAAAAUCUCAAAGUAAUACAAAAUUUUUUUUCUUAAACAUUCUAAAAUUUUUCAAUAAAACAAUCUACCAAGUAAAAUCUAUAUGUUUAAUCCAACUGAUAAUACAUCUUUAUAUAUCCAAAUACAAACCAUAUAAAAUACAUAACUAUCUCUUAAGAUUUCAUUGGCCAACAUAUUCUCCGAUGACUAAGUAAUCUUUCCCAUUUCAUCUUUUAGCUUCACACAAGACUAACCAAACUUAUCACUUAAUCAUCUGUAAAGAAAAAGUAAAAAGGAAAUGAGUAAAUCAUAGCUCAGUAAGUAUAGGCUCACACACUUUAUCAGAUCAAGCAUCAUUUUCUUACACAUCAUAUAGAUCAUUUAAAACAUUCAUCAAGUCAUAAUAUCAAAACAUUUCAAAAUUAUCGUUUUGUCAAAUAUUUCAUAAAUUCAUAAAUCAAUGUCAAAAUAUGUCACUUCAUAAAUCAUUGCAAAAUAUGCUAUCAUUCAAAUAUCAUAAUCAAACCAAAUCAUUGAUCAAUCAUUAAAAAUCAUCGCAAAUCAUCAUCAUCAUAAAUCAUCAUUAUCAUUGGUUUAUCGUUAACUACGGUCACUGUUAUAACCCGUGAUAUUGGUCGUAUCGACAAUUUCAUCCUUAUGAUCAUUGCUAAUUAUUAUAACCCGCUAGCCAGGGCCUUAUGCUAACUACUAUUACCCAUUAGCCAGUGUCGUAUGAUCAUGUCUUUGCUAAUUACUAUUACCCGUUAGCCAGGGUCGUAGAACUAAUUCUGGUGUCGAUAAUCCCACUUCCCUGGGAUGUAAACAUCAUAAAAUCAUUUUCUAAACAUAAAUCAUUUUCUCAUUUCAUUCAUAAGCAUGAUCCAUCAUUUAUAUAGAGAAACACAAAAUAAUGAUAUGCUAGAUCCUAUUUUCAUACAUCGAAAAUAAUAAAAUAAAAUAUUCAUUCAUUUAGAAACAUACAAACAUACAUUGAGUCGAAAACAAAUAAAGUGUGUGAGAUUCUAUUUACCUCCAUUCGAUUCCACCACUUAGUUUUUCCCCCAAAAUAAUUAAUGGUCUAUCCAAGAUCAUUUUAACAUAUCAAAAUUUAAUCAACCUUUUUUGAGACCAUUUAUACAAAAAUCAAUUAAGUUACACAAAGAUUAACUUAAUUAAUUAAUAUUAGCAGCCUGACCUCUUUUAAUUAAAACAGUCAUAUCUCAAUAUAUCCAAAUCAGAAUUAUGAUCUCUUUAAUGCGUUAGAAACUAAACUUGAUAAGCUUUCUAACCAUAUAUGGCACACCUCGUAAUUCUUUGUAGAUUAAUUAUAACAAUUUUUGAAAUUCACGUCAUAUACUACUAUCAAACAACCUGUAUACUUUCUAAUAAAAACUAUAUAUUAUUCAUAGAAAACUCCAAAUUCAAUUCUGCUUAUUUCAUUGGAAAGUAGACACAAUAAGCUUUCUAAACAUAUAUGGCUUAAUCUGUAAAUCUUUGUAUACAAAUUAAGAAGAAUUUCAUAAUUCAACCAUGAUACUAUUGUCUUACAGCCUGCAUAUCUUUAAGUUAAAAUUAGACAACUAUUCAUAAAAAACUCAUAUUUGACUUUCGUUUGUUUAAUUAGAAACUAGAUUCAACAUGCUUUCUAAUGAUAUAUAAUAAUUACAGCAAUAAUCUAUCCAUUAAUACAAAAUUUUAUUUUAAUUCAUUAUUCCAGAUCACAACAUCUCAUUCAAAAAUAAAAUUUUUCAUUCGAUCUUUAAAAACUCAAAUCCUUACUUUCAACCUUCAAAUUCCAUUCAAUAAUCAUCGAUAAAUCUUAAAAACAUGGAAUAAACAAAGCCCAAUAAUUUACUCAAAUAGAUCAUCAAGAUUAAUGAAGGAUUUCAUGAUUUUUCUUGAUUUUUCUCUCAAAACUUUAACUCCAAAUAAUAACAAUUAACUUGAUAAUUCUUCUUAAAUAAAAAAAAGACAUGUACUUACCUUUAAGGGAUUAACUUGAUUGUAACCUUUGUUUGUGAAUCUCCAACUUGAUUUUUUUAUAUUCCUAACCCUAAGGAAGAUGAGGAAGAAAAACUUUAUUUCCUUUCUAUUUCACGAUAAUUAGGUUUUCUUUCAUCUAAUAUUUCAACAAUUUUUUUUUUACUAAAUAAUAUCUUAAUAAACUGAUAGACUUUAGUAUUAGUCUAGCUCAAUUAUUAUUUGAGCCGGGUAUUACACAAUCAUUUCUGAGUUUUUAUCCACGGAAAAGGUAAGAUUCCUCACGGUCUUUGUCUUUUCUACCAUCUCGCGAGGGGUUGAAAUGGUGGGUAGUACUUCUCCAAGGUAAAGAUUAGCAGCCUGAGAAAGCUGCUUUGAUUGUCUCGAAACACCAUUGUCUCCUCUGUGGUGAAAUGGCUAGUCCACUCCUCAAAGCGUGAAGAGAUGUAUAAGGGCAGUGUUUCAGGGAGGUAGUUGUAGAGAGUGCUGCGAAUCAGAGUAAGGGAAGCCAAAAACGCCCACAACGAGUUCAUAUUGGCCUUGCAAUCUUUCUUUCACCUGUAUGCCCAGUGCAUCAGUGCUUUGAUGGCUUACAGUUUACACCCCAAAUCCACAACCUCACUGUUUUAGAAUGAGGAGUUCCAGCCUUCCAGGCUUCAACUAGUAUCUAAAGUUUUGGACUUUUAGUCUUUUUCUCUUACAGAAAAAUUUAAAAAAAAGGAAAGAAGACAAUCAGUGUACCAUGAAAUGAAGAAAGUAAGUCUGACAUCACUAAAAAGAAAGUUGGCGUUUUCCACAAUGAGUUUUCCUACAUCAGCAGAGCAGAUUUGACGGUACUUUGAGCUUUAGACUUCACUACCAAUAUCUACUUGGAUUGUCUAGUUUUUGAGUCAUACUACCACUCAAGCCUUGGCUUUAUCCCUAGUGCAGUCCACAGUGCAUCUGCAAAGAUUAGCCAAUUUUGAAUUUGCCUCCUCACCUCUCAAUAUCCACAUUGAUAGCAAAGUCUAGGCGCGAGCGAACGGUUGUGACUCGGGAAUCUUGAUUAUUGAUUUUGAGCACGCGAGCGACUCUUAGAAGCAAGUUUUCUUGGGCCGAAAAAGCAAAAGUUUUUGGGCCGAAAAAGAUAGGCCGGAGUCCUGAAACUAAAACAGAGUCCACAUAACCGUAACACCAAGGAAGAAUAUGAGCUUGAUGGCCCUGAUUAUUGACCUGCUUUAGGCCCUGUCUGAGAAAGACUUUUCUCUUUCACCAUAUUGAUUGAACACGAUCGAUCCCAACUCCGAAGACUUCGAUAUAAUUUUCAGCAGUUUACAUUUUUCUACUGCGUACACCCUCCUUUCUUUGGCUUCUAGAGAAACAAGCUCAUUAGUCCUAGUCUCAUAGCUCUUGCUAUUAUUUGAGUUACAUAUAAACAAACGAAGAAAGGCUACAAGAGAAAGAGAGAGAGGGAGAGAGGAGGAGGAAUGGGAGAAGGAAGAGAAGGAGACUGGGAGUGCAGCGGAUGCAAGAACAGGAACUACGCUUUUAGAUCUUUCUGUAACAGAUGUAAACAGCCUCGUCUUCUGGUUGACAUCAAAACUCCAGCUGACUCUAAGUGGCUUCCUCGUAUUGGUGAUUGGAUCUGCACUGGUCAGUUUAUACUUCUAUCGAAAACCUAUCUUCCAGUGGUUUUUAUUUUAACAUCUUCUCUUCUUGGUCGUGUUGACUCAACUGGGUUUUGCUCUUUAUUCUUUUUCUUCUUCCUUUAUAAUUCAAUUAUUAAACUCAAGAAUAGAUAUCUAAGAUGGGUUUUUUUUUUUUUUUUUUUUGGAAACAGUUGGUUUCUGGGGUUUAUAUGGGCUCUGAGUUUUGAUAAUAAGUUCGAAUUUCAUUAGCUGAGAUUUAACAAUAGGCAUGUCAAGAUAAGAUAUUGCUUUUCCCAAGUUAACGUUUGCAGAUAACCAAGAGCUUUAUUGAACUUGUUUCUGCUUUAGUUUUGCUAAUUUGCCAUAAAGCAACUGGUUUUACAUCAAUUGUUGGCAAAGUUGCCAUUGCGAAAACAUAACCCUUUACUGAUGUCUUUUUACGAAUGCAACCCGUUCAAUGAAUGUUCUGAUAUGUGCUUUGUGAAGUUGAGGUUAGGAAAUCUGAAUCAAUUAGGUUGAGUGGUUUGUGUUUUUUGUAUGUGUACUUUGGUAUGCGAUGAACUGGUUGGUGUGCGUAUGCUUGGCUUCCUUGUCCUCUUCGUGGCUGCAUUGUAUUGGGGUGUGUGUGGCAAUGGAUCAAUAGGUUGCACUAACAACAAUUAUGCAUCAAGAGAAAAGUGCAAAAAGUGCGGGCAACCAAAGGAGAUAGCAGCAAUGCCAGCAAUUGCAAUGCCUGGAGCUUCUCUCCCAACUUAUUCACAUUAUUUUGCCAGGGCCCCAGGAGCACUGGAACAAAAGAUGAAUGUUGGAUUUGUAGGCAGCGGUGCUCCCCAACAGUCACUUCCUUUGAGUUCCAACUGGUCUGUACACGGGGCUGAUGAUUAUGGACUUCAAUCAGCUUCUACUUGGCCUGCAGCUGGAAACCAAACUUCUGGGGUUCCAUAUUUGAAUCCUGGUAAUCAGCCUCUUUCUGUUCCCAAAGGAUGGCGAAAUGGUGACUGGAUUUGCAACUGUGGCUUCCAUAAUUACUCUUCACGUUCACAGGUAUUAUCUUACUGCCUAAACUGGAUUCAGCAUUCUUCUUCGUACAUAUCACUAAUUCUACAAAAUAUCUGGUGUCAUUUCGAUUCUGAUCCAGUCUGAUAUUUUUGCAGUGCAAAAAUUGCAAUGCAUCUAUACCACCAGGUACAUUCUGAUUCUGGCCUGUGAAACAAUAUUUUCUUCAUUUUGCUUUUAAUGCUUAUAUUUGAUCUGCUGUUGGUUCUGUUUCCAGUAACUGAGUCUUUGCAUAUUUUUAUUUUCCUUUUUUGGGGUAUAUAGCUCUUGGAACCAAGCGAUUAGCAUCUGAAGAAUUUGUUCAUGACUGGGAUAACAAAAGAUUGAAUUCAGGACAUGUAAGGAAUCAGUGUCUGUCCUGGCAUUUAUAAUUAAUGUUAUUUUCUCAGCAUGCUUUGACUCAUUUAACCACUCCUGAACCACUUUAUUCCCCUUUCCUGGGUUUGCAGGGUAAUGGUCAGCCACAGUUGUACCCUGGAUUUGACCAAAUGGUAGGAGCCACCAAUGACCCAAAACCUGGAGCAUAUCCUCCCUAUCUCAGUCUAAACGCUGGUGCGCCUUCAAAUUGGCAGGCACCCUUUCUAUUUUCUCAUCAAGCUGCAACACCAACCCUUCUUGGAAAAGGGUAAAUGCGGAUUAAGUUGCUCCUUAUCCUUUAUCUUGGACAAAUUAGUUAUUCAUUUUGUGAGGAUAUAUAAUACUUUAUUGUCAAUCUAUGGCAUUGAUAACUUUUUUUUUUAAUUUUUAAAUCCUUUAAUCUUUUUGGAUCUAGCAACUGACUUUUAACUUCUGGAACUGCUCCUGAGAUUAAUUUAAGUUGCUUCUAGAGUGAUAUUUUCAGUUGUCUUACCUCUUAUUGAUUGUAUGCUUGAAAGAAGUAUGCUAAAGAGAUGGUCACUUUGUUGAUACAGCAUUAUGAACUGUUUUUAAAAUCCAAUAAGGUUUAUGUGCAGUUCUUUGUAUUAAAAUGCUGUCAUAUAUCUAGCAAAAAUGAUAUUCAGUAUGAGAAUCCAAGGAUUGCUUUUUAGAUCUACUAAUACUUUGACGUGUUUCAUUUAUCAGAGCAAAGCAAUGGCGUAGUGGAGAUUGGAUGUGCACAAAAUGCAACAAUCACAAUUAUGCAUCUCGAGCUCAAUGCAAUAGGUCAGUAGCUAAAUUAGUGGCUUUUACAUGCUAAAUUAUACAAGCAUUGUGAUCUGCUGAAAUAUGAUGUGGCUUAUACCCAUCAAAGUUUUGAUAUCUGAAGCGAUUUGCUAGUUUUAGAAAUGAAAACUGCUUAACGUAUAUCUGGUUGCCUGCAUAAGAUGUAUGGCUUUUGUUCUUUUUGUCUUUUGUUCUUUUGUUCUGUCGGUGGUUUCCUGUACAGUGGUUAAUCAAAUCAUUGCAUAUAAUAUAAAUGACUAUCAUGGCAGUACUUUUUGAUUCGUUAUAACUUCCUCUUUUGGCGCAUCUCUACAAGGUUAGGGGUGAGUCAGUAAAUGAACCCUGAUCGUUGACCCUCCAUGGGAGGGUAACAAUCAAUAGGUUGACACUGCAGACUUCCCUUAAAGGAAGAUCUGUCACUUUGUUUUGGCGAAAACUCACGGCCUUGGUUGUUAUUUUCCUUCUACAGGUGUAAGACUCAGAAGGAUACCUUGACUCAGCCCGUAAAUGCUGCAUAGUCAUAAUUUAAUGCAGGUUUUGAUUCAUAAAGAUUUUUCUAGUACAUUGGUCGGGUUCUUUUUUUUUUUUUUUUCCCGUGUACAACAAAAACUAAAAGCUCGCUAUAGGUUUGGUUUUAUUAUUUAUGAUAGUUUCCUUUACACAAUGGUGGAGAGGUUUAUAUAACUUUUGUUUAAUAGUAAAUUUUGUAAUUUGACUGGCAUUUCUUGUAUAAAAGGGUGAAAGCCUUGUGUUGUUUACACUUCAAACAGGUUGGACAGAGCUUUAACUGCUAAUGUAGCUUUCUAUUUGUUUCUUUGCGUAUCUGAUAGCAGUUUUGCAUGGUUUUGAACCAGUUAUGUUUUCACAUGCUAGUUGUUGUAAUACAAGCCUUUCAAUCCCAAUAAUGUUAUUAAUUUUCAGCGAAGCAGAGAAUAUCUUAAUGUGUAUGCUUAUGUGACGAAGAGAUGUAUUAUUAAAUUCAAAACUUAACUCGGUUGAUUGAUAUAACUACAGCAUCCAACAGAUUUGAGUUCAAAUUUUAGUAUUUACAACCUCUUCUCUCAGCUUCGGAGAGAUGAUUUAUUAGAAGAAAGAGGGCAUUGCGAAGGAUGUGAGAUGAGGUUAAGGGAUUAAUCAAUAACGAAAUAAUUAAGAAUCAAAUCUUAGAGAUGCUAUAGUGAAAAUGAGUAAAUUUACUCAUCUAGACUAGAUGCUACAAAAUCUUGCAGACUGUAAAAAAGACAUAUUAAUACAUUGCAUGGUGGUAUCUAUCAAGAGCCCUUGAACAUGGAGGUAGGAGACAAAGGAGGAGAAUCGAGUUGGUAAAGAUUGAGUGCAGGUCCAACAAACCGGAAAAGUAUCCAAGCCCCAAUUACAAUGAAAAUGGAAGCAUAGGCAAACUUGUUGAGCCAGAAGAGCAAACCCUUCUCUCCCACAUACAACUCUAUAGCCUUCUCUGUGAUGCUCAUUUCUUCCCAUUUCUUUGGAGUUGGAUCAACUGCAGCCUUUGCCGCCAUACGUUGCCCUCCCUCAAAACCAUCUUCCUGCAGCUUUCUACGCCUCCUUGACCCUCUCUUAAACCGUAUUCCAACGGUUUCCGGUGGCCUUAUUGGUGGUGGUGCAUCGCUGCCACUUGUGCUACUGCUACCGUUAUUGUCAGCGCUGCUGUUCGUGCAACAAACUUUAACAAAACGUCGAUAGCGACGUGUACAGACCUGGGUAUAUGUUCUUGCAGAAGAUGAAGCUUUUGGAAGAACAGGGUUGGUUGAUGGGGGCGACUUUGAAGCGAAGGACUGGAGAAUACUGGUAUCCAUUGCUUGCUUUCAUGUGCUUUUCUUCUCUCCUAGCAGAGCUAUGGAUAUGCUUAUCCUUAGUGGCGUCUAUCAGGCGGAUAUCUUCUGCGGGAGAUAUCAUAUCUCCUUACUUUUAUGUGUUAUCAUUUCGUGCCAUGUCAUCAAGGUUUAGUUGAAGUUAUUAUUUUCGGUUUGAGUUUCCAUUGAACUUUUUUAGUUAAUUCAAUUUAAAUUAAAAAAAAAAACACUUUUUAUUAGAGUAAAUUCAACUAGUCUUGGGCCACAAAAGACACAAACCCAACUAGUGUGUGGUUUGUUGGGAAUCAUGGGCAGAACAGCAACGAUCUAAAGCCCACUAUCCAGUAAACCCAUGUUGUAUCUAAGAAUCUUUGAAAAAGUAGAAGAGAGAAUCCAGCAUCUAGGGGGCAUUUUCGGGGACAUGGAUUUAGCAAAUCUAAUGAUUUCUCAAGGUCGGACUCUGAUUUCUGGCUUUGAUCAAUAAAUUCAACCCAAUAGAAAAGCAGAAAUGGAAAAAUGCAAGAGCAGAAGCAAGUUUAAAGUUCUGCAUCUAAAUACAAAUUGAAAAGGCCAAAAAUAUGAUUCUACAACUGCCCGUAAAUUUCAUACACAAAUCUGCAAAUCUACAUCUUGCACCCCAAAUUAUACAUUAUCCAAUAUUCAUACUAAAACCAAAAGGUCAAGCAUGGUACCUGAAGUUUUAAUAUAUAUAAAAAACUCACAUAUAAAUCAUGAAAAUGUUUAUCACAUAACUGGAACCGGCAUUACCACUUCACUGGUAGCAUCCAUAUUUGAACUACUAGCACUGGAGUCCCGGUUUUCCUCCCUGGACGCCUUUUUCUUGAUGAAUUCGAUACAAUCUGCCACAGCUUCGCUAUGGUGCGCAUCAGCCGGGUAAUAUUUUCGCGGGACGACGGAUGAGCCUGUGUGAUUAUGAUGAUGUGAGGCCUUGGUGACAGCUGACAGCAUUAUCAGGCGAAAAACUGCUUCUCGGAAGCGUUCUAGCAGGGUCAUUGGUGAUAAACGUUUGUUUUUGUUGUUGCCUUUGAACCUUGGCAUGCAUAGGCUACUGCUCUUCAUUUUCUUGGGGCUGCCUCUGAUUUUCUUCUCCAUUCUCUGGUCGUUUACCUUUGAAAAUAGAGGGCAUAUAUAGGAGAAUCUAAUGCACCAGAAAAUUUUUAUAUGCAUGUAUUUUGUUCUGUAGCUUUAGCUUACCAAGUAAACAUAUAUGUAUCUCUUAUUUAUUACAUAUAUGAUAUUGUAGAAUUUCCAGGAUUUGUUGUGAUGGUUAAUUUUUUGAUAAACAAAUUUGGAGAAUUAACUUAAUGGCAUUAAUGGUUGAAAAAGCAAGCAUCAUCGAGUUUUUCCAGUGGGACCUGGAAACCUUAAUCCUUAAUAAUAUAGUGUCAGAAAUUUUGCUGGAAAAUGGUGGCAAUCAAUUGGUCAAGUCAAUGCUAAUUGCAAUAGAGCCAUUAGGCAAAGCAUGUUUUAGAGUAGUAUUUUGUAUUCUAAUGACUCGUGACAACUCAACCAUGUUAUGUUAACACACCAUCCCAACUUGUACUACCUGACCUUUUUAGGAUCAAGUUCCUGCAUGUGUCACAACAACACAAUUUAUGCAACAAAAAUCAUGAUUUAACAAUCACCAAAAUCCACAAUUGUUUUUAAAUUCUUUUCUAAUAUUAUAUUAGAAAUGAAAAUUCCAUUUUGUGAUUCAAACUCUAUGACUAAGUUGUUUCCAUUUUCUCUUCAUUAUUUAUAUCAGAAGUAACCAUCAUAAUGACUUCAAUGUCUGCAUACCAAGACAUUUUAAUCCACAAAACAGGGUAAGGAAAAUAAUUUCCUUUUGAAAAGUUGCUUUAGCAUAUCAGAACACGAGAAUUGAAAAUGGUCCCAAAGCUUAAUCCAUGGCCUAGAGUUUAGGGUUCUGCUUGUAAUUAAUGAUUAAAAUAUAUUAGCAAAGCAUGUAGCAAACUCUCUCGAUCUGAUAAGGCUCACAUGGCUACAUGUGCAUUGGUUACAUAAUUUAAUGCAAUCGUUCAUGGCUGACCACAACUAUAUUAAAUUCAAUUCAGCCGACUUACCAACCAUCAAGAAUCCUUUGUUUUACCCUCCUUGAAUAAGACAUAGAAAUGUUCUUCAUGCACAAUUCUCUGUUUCGUAUCCAUACAGACAUAUACUUAAACAAAGGGUCUCUGAUAAAAUAUGGAGCUUGUUCACUAUGGUUCAUAGUGUUGGAGAGAUAAAUCACACUUGGAGUUCAUAAGAACACAUCAGAGAGCCCAUACAUAUACGUUGGAUAUCACUUGAGCCCCAAAAGCUUAAACUAUUAGGUUCUUGGGUCUUUCAUGCAUAUAUAAGACAUCUCAUUCAGAUUUCCUAAUGAUGUGAAAUUUUUUACUCACAAGUAAACCAUAUCCCAACAAUCUUCUCCAUUCACUUGUAAGUUCUAAUCAAGUCCCACUUCGGCUCAUCCGUGCGAGUAAGUCCUAUCAACACCUCAUUUGGGUCAGGCAACCUCACAUUUCUAGUGCGUUUUUGGGCUAGGGCAUAGCACUUAACUUGGUUGUCUAGAUUGUCUCAGUGCUCCCUCAAGCUUACACUCUAGGUUGACUCAACACAUCACCACUUGGUGUUCCGCUUCUGCAUAUUAUCAUAGACUCACUACAUCCAAGUCGAACCUUUUAAUACCAAUAUUCAAGCACACGGAGUUGAUGGAAGCGACUAACUUUCAACCUGCCAACAAUCUCCCCCUAGCAACACCACUGAAACUUGAAUCCGUCAUAACCUUGGCUCUGAUAUUACUUGUUAAGGAGACAAACAACAUUUGAAACUCAUGAGAGCACAUCAAAAAGCCCAUACAUACAUGUUGGAUACCACUUGAGCCCAAAAGCUUAAGUUAUUAGGUUUUUAGGUCCUUCAUACAUAUAUAAGACAUCUCAUUCAGAUUUCUUAAUGAUGUAAGAUCUUUUACUCACAUGUGAACCAUAUCCCAACAAUUAUUAUUAAGAAAAUAGGGUCCAACCCCAUGUAAUUAGUUUUGGACCAAUCAAAGGCCAUGGUGGGCCUUGGUCUUUCUUGUCAUACAAAACCCUAGCUACUUAAUAAAAAGAUGUGGGGUUGUUUUAAGGUGGUGUUGCAAAACUAAUAAAAGAAAGAAAAAAAGCCAAAAAAAUAAAAAGAAAAGAAAAAAAAAGAGAAUUGGUUGAACGAAAGUUGAUCCGUGAUCCGAUUGAGUUAAAAUUUUAUCAACAAGUUUACGAUUCAAAGUUUUAUAUUCUGAAUGGUGAAGAUCAGAUUUGAAACCCUCUAAGAAUAAAUCCAAAGUGUAUUUGUUGAGUCACCUAUUUGGUGAGAUUUCUCUAAUUAUCUCUCUCUAGUUGUUGAUUAGCUUUAGUUUUAGCUAGAGAAAAACUUUGUAUAUUCAUGAUUUGAUAGUAAAGAUUUAUCCGGUGGUCUGUGAUUUUUCUCUCUACAUUGGAAGGUUUUUCACGUAAAUCUUGGUGUGAUUUUAUUUUUCCUACAUUAUUGAUUAUUAAUUGUUGUCUAUUACUAUGGGUUUAUUACGAUAUAUUGCUUUUACGUUGUUGUGUUUAUUAUUUCAAACCUAACAAGUGAUAUCAGAACGAAGGUUAUUUUGAGACAUCGAUACAGAAGCAGCCCAAGAUAGAAAUAAAUUAUGUUUGAGAUUAUAGAUGGUGAUACAGGUUUCAUAAUAAAAUUGAAAACAUCAAAUUAUUCAAUUUGAAAGCUUAUGAUGAAAGAUCAUUUAUGCUGCAAAGAUUUGUAUGAGCCGGUAUUGGGUGAUUCGACUAAACUAACAGAUAUGAAAGAUGAAAAUAGAAAGAAGUUAGGCAAAAAUACGCUGACUAUAAUAAAAAAAUAGGUUGAUAUUAGCAUGUUUCAUCAUAUAGCAUUGAAGAUAUAUGCCCAUACUAUUUGAGAAAAAUUAGCAGUAUUGUAUGAGAGAAAAACAUGUAUGAAUAAAAUUAUACUUGUUAAAAAGCUUAUUACAGAGCACUUGAGUGAUUUUCAAGAUAUAUUUAAUUAGAUGACUGUUAUAGAGCUUAAGAUGGAUGAUGAAUUAAAGGCAUUGUUUCUUUUAGGUUCAUUGCCAGAUAGUUGGAAUACUCUAGUUGUGAUUGUUCUUAAUUCAGCUCCUCAUUAUAAGAUGAUAUUAGAAAUGGUAAAUGACAAUAUGCUUACUAAAUAAAUAAGACGAAAAGAUGUUGUAAUACCCUAGCCCAAAUAAUAAUUGGGCUAGACUAAUACCAAAGCCCAUCAGUUUAUUAAGAGAUUAAUUAGUAAAAGAAAAAAGGGCUGAAGUAUUAGAUAAAAAAAAUAUAACUAUUGUGAAACAAAAAGGAAAUAUAAUUCUUCAUUCUCAUCUUUUUUAGGGUUAAAGAGCAUGAAAAAUCAAGUACAAGAUUCAAAAUUGAAGAUUACAAUCGAGUUAAUCUCCUAAAAGUAAGUACAUGCCAUAUUUUUAUUUAAGAAAUAUACUAUGUUGGUUGCUAUUAUUUGGAGUUGAAGUUCUAAGAGAAAAAUCAAGAAAAAUUAUGAAAUCUUUUAUUAAUCUUCAUGAUCUAUUUGGGUAAAUUAUUGGGCUUUGUUUAUUUCAUGUCUUUAAGAUUUAUUGAUGAUUUAUUGAUGAUUAUUGAAUGGAGUUUAAAGGCUGAAAGUGGGGAUUUGAAUUUUUAAAGAUUGAAGGAAAAAUUCUAUUUUUAGAUGAGAUGCUAUAAUCUACAACAGUGAAUUAAAAUAGGAUUUUGUAUUAAUGGAUAAAUUAUUGCUAUGAUUAUUAUAUAUCGUUGGAAAGCAUGUUGAAUCUAUUUUCUAAUGAAACAAACGAAAGCCAAAUCUGAGUUUUUUAUGAAGAGUUGUCUAAUUUUUACUUAAGGAUAUACAAGCUAUAAAGCAACAACAUCAGGGUUGAAUUACGAAAAUUAUCUUAAUUUUUAUACAAAGACUUACAGAUUAAGUCAUAUAUGUUUGAAAAGCUUAUUGAGUCUACUUUCCAAUGAAAGUAGCGAAAUUGAAUUUGGAGUUUUUUAAUGAAUAAAUACAUAAUUUUUAUGAGAAGGUAUACAGGUUGUCUAGUAGUAGCAUAUGAUGUGAAUUCCAAAAAUUGUUAUAAUUAAUCCACAAGGAAUCAUGAGAUGCACCAUAAAUGGUUAGAAAGCUUAUCGAGUCUAAUUUCUAAUGCAUUAAAAAGAUUUUAAUUAUGAAUUGGAUAUCUUAAGAUAUGGUCAUUUUAUUGAAGGUAGCAUAGGCUGCUAGAAUUAGUUACUUGAGUUAUUUCUUGUUUAACUUAGUUGUUUUGGUAUAAGCGAUCUCAAAUGGGUUGAUUAAUUACUGUUAUAUUGAAAUGAUCUUAAAUAGGCCAUUACUUAUUUGGAAAAAAAAACUAAAUGAUGAAAUUGAAAAGAGGUAAGUAGAAUCUCACACA
rnacentral:lncRNA from 1 species